GGAGCACAGGACGUCCACGGGGAAGGAGGGUUGAUCCCCGGAGCGCUGGUGGCAGUGGCCACGUCCAUCCCAUCCCACCCCCUUGCAUCACUCACCCAGGGUCCUGGUUUCCGUGUGUAAGAAUUUGCCAGGGUUCUCAACACCAUAGAGCCACCUUGAAAGGUUUGAUUUUAAAUAUGAAAGUCAGCCCCAAGGAGGUACCCGCUGACACUGCCUCUGAGCAUCUGUAUGUAAUUCCCCGCGACUUCAGCUUAGCUACCACAGAUGCUGUGUGGUUCUGCCUACCUGGGGAUUUUUCACUUUCAUUCACCCAAAUCCGAAACGGAUAGAAGAGUUUGGGACAGAGAAAUGCAUUUCUUUAUGGAGACAAGGUUGUGACGUAUGUGGACGAAAUAAGGAAGAGAAGCAUUGUGAAUGGAUUCGGGUAUUUGUGUGACACCGGAAAGUGGAUGAUAUUACUUCGUCUCCAUCACAACAGCCCUCUCUUUAACACAUAUCCAGGAUGUAGGUGAUGCGCGCACUCUCCCGAAGGUUCUGCACACAAAGAAAUCAGAGGAAUCCCGAUGUUCACCAGUAAAUGACAAGAGCCCAGGACGUCUAGUAAUCAGUCUUGGAGCUGACCAUUGAUCUCCAGGCAUCUGCUUCUGUGGUGGGUGUGCACCCUGAAUUCAAGUUACAAUCAAGUUAAGGAUUGAAAGAUUACUUCAAAUGUCUUUUAUUGCAGUCAGGUAUUUCCACAAUGAGGCUUCACAAAUAGAAAUACUUGAACAUAGCCCCCCCCCCCCUUUAUUUGUUGGUUUCAGAUGUUCAAAGUCAUUUCAAGGCUCGACUUUGUGGUUUCAUCCUUGUCUCCGCUCAAUACUUGUAUUGCGUAGUCAGGUGCUUUAUAACAAGGAAAGCCAAGAUUUCAGAAGCACCCCCAGCCCCAUGCUAUAGUAUAAAUUACUUGCAACUCAGAGACUGAGUGGAGAUCAGAACUUCGCCUGAGACUUGCUCACAGAAGAUACUGUGCUCUGCUCCGUGAUGAGGAACCUUCAUCCUCACGGGCAAGAAGUGUUCUCUGAGUGUGCUCUUUGCUCUACUUCCGUGCACCCACUGAGUAUUUCACACCCUUCUGAACUGGUGUACAGAGAUAGUGCCCCAGCCCGUGUGGACUAGCAAGAUGUGGUGUCCUAAUGAGAAUCUAGCUACAUCAACCCGGAGUGAUCAAGAGACCUGUGUGUCUAGUUUGGGGUUUAGUACAUAACAUCUACUGCCGCCCCCUUUAGCUGUCGCACACCUCCCUUGCUCUUGCACAGGUCUACUGUUGGUCAUCUAUCGGUUUUUUUUUUUUCUUUCUAUCUGUUGGACCUGGCUGUUGGUGAUCUCCCUGGGCAUGCGCGGACAGCAUUUUACUGGGUCUCCUCAGUGUCCCUCAGGCUCUCCUACCAGAAUAUUCUUGGAGGCCCAGAAUAAAUCAACCUUGGGCACUUUGGGCCACUUUCAGCGCCCAUGACCACCCGGUGCUUAGAGACCUUAUAAACCGAAGAUGCUGGAAUAGAGGAGAGCCAUGUCAUCUCCAAGAAGGGGCCUGUGAGGAAACUCCCCUUCCCAAGCAAGGGCACACAGUGCCCUAGGGAUCAAGUAGCCACAGAUCCCAGGAGUCUUAGCAAAAACCAGGAGGGCGGAGAUGUGUGAGGUGAGAGACAAGAAAUGAAGGAGUGGGUAGAAGAGGGUAGGAGAUGGAGAAGAGAGCCCUCCAGUGAGCCCUAGUGGACAUAGAGAUGCAGGACUUCAAGAAAGAGCAAGGGUCACUGAGGUCCAGGGCCCCUGGUUACUGAGAUCUGGAUCCAAGAGGUCAUGGGGGAAUCAGGAGAAUUUUUACUGAAAGGAAAAAUCUAAGACCAAAACCAAAACACAACCAGAAAGGCCUGCAGCUGGCUCGGGCCAGAAGGAAACCAAAAGCCUUUCUCUAAACUCCAAGGCCUCCUCUGGGGCGACCCCUUCUCUGGGUAAAUAUUUACUCAGUAGGAGACUGGAAGCUAGAGGACCAGAGGGUGUGAAGGAGGAGGUUACACCAGGAUUCUACACACUUGGCACCGGGCAGCCCACUGUGGAAGCCAAGCCCAGAAAUGCAGGGGCAGCUAGGCCCGCACAGUGCUGCGGAGUUUUAUCUCCAGGGCUUCUCCUCCUCUGUUGAACUCAACCCUGCCUCCAACGACCCAGGCUCGAUGCUUGUAAAGUCUUCAUAAAUCUGUCAGUGGUCCCAAUGCCACGGGCCCGCCACUUGCAGUGCACCAAGUCCCUUUGGGCACGAGCGAGGUCUGAGGAGAGAUGCGCAGGAAGUGGAAUCUAGCUCUUCCCACGGCGGCUCACAGAGUAUCCGGGCAGUCGCCGCCGCCAUCGGAAGGCAGCACUCUAGGCUGUGUGUGAGCACUCACUUGAUCUCGCCAGAAGCUUCAGGGGACUUCAAUUGGAGCCCACUGACUACCGAAGCGUUGCUUACUGGCUGUUCAGCCUUCCGCCAGAUGGAGGAACCUCGCAUACCGAGAAGGCUUCCUCCUCUGCGGCAGACUUCAGCCAGAGUUCCCUUCACCCCGGCACCUCAUCGCAGCGCCACCUACAGGCGCCGGAUUGACUCCAGCUCCGACAAGUCUGGGAAGGGCGUUUGCAAAUCGAAGGCUUCAAUUCACCUUAACAUUGUGCUGAAUUCUAAGUCGCGCACCGCGCUUCGUCACGCGCCAUCGCGUUAAACCCAAGCACCGAUCUUUUCACGUUACUGGAAACACCUAUCUCCCUCCCACACCCUACUUUGCAGGAUCUUUCACCGCCCUGGGGUGGGGGUGGGGGGCACUCAGGGUCAUGGAUUUUCCUUCCUCUAUGGGCUGGGAAAGCUAAAAACUGAAAAGAAGUUCCUCUAAAGGAAGGGAAGAGAAUGGUGGGCUGGUUCUUUGCUGGCUCAUCCCACUAUUUAGUGAGAGGCCACGAAGUCAAACAUGAUAGCCUUCCAAAGUGGCAGUGGCCUUUACAACGAUAAAACACGCGUGUAGAUCAAAUGUGAACACCUAAGACAUUUAAAGAAGGCCGCAUUACAUAUGAAACAAGAGGAAAGUGUGAAGCCCAGCUAGGCUCCCACUACCCUCGCUCUUUCCGGUUUCCCACUCUCCGGGAAUAGCUCAUUACUAAAGGCCCCAGAAAAGAAGAAGACUCCGCACUGCAGGUGUCUACAAUGGGAGUAAACACUCCCUACCCCCUCCACAUCUUAGGAAAGACAACCUCCCCUAAGCCAAACCCCAGAGCCUGUCAAAGAGGACCUGCUUCCUGGGACUCCUCACUAUGGACAGAAUGCCAGCUGAAUAGGUCAGGGUUGACCAGAAGAGAGCCAGAAAGCGCGCUUGAAUUCCAGCUGUUUGCUCUGACCCUCCCUAGGACUUGUGAGCCAGGGGCAAGAACGCAGAGUGCAGCCAGAAGGGGGACCACGCAUCUUCCAACGGUGCCCAGCCUCAUAGCAAAAAGAGGGCCAAGGCAGGACCAGAAGAAAUUUUGUUCUGCGGCUCAAUUUAUUUUGCGACUGGCAUGACCUGUCCACGGGAUGACAUGUUAACAUGUCAACCAAAGCACAGAAAAUAUUCACUUUUCUGGGGAUCUGUACUGGCAUCUGUUGUGUGUUUCUCCGUGGGUCACCGGAGCACUAUAGUGGGAACAAAAUCGGGAGAUGCCCUGAAACAAUACAAUUAGGACUGAUUAUUAGCACAGCUAGUGGGCCCGAGUGACCUGAAAGUGCCCGUGUUAGAUAAAGUUAGCUGCUUUCUCUGCGGAGUCCCUGCUACCACCGCCUUCCUUUCCUGGAGAUGCAUGGAGAAUCCAUUUCAAGUCAUCCCCUCCUUGCAUUACCCUGAAGACAGCGUAGAGAUGAACUAUUUCAUGUUUAAAACAUAAUGACAAAAUGACUUUAGUGGGCUCUGGGAGACGUGGCAAUCAAGUGAAGAGAAAGCGAUUUUUCCUGGAUUGGGAGACUUGCUUUGGCUGUGGACCACAGGCGAAUUCCUUCUGUUGUCGCCCCUAAAUGGGAGAUGAGCGAAGUCACUUCCCAGUUGACUAGAUUGAGGACAUUUCAAACAGGUAUUUUCAACUGAAUUUCCAGUCCAGACUAGGAUGUCUCAGCCCGCAUUUUGGCAUGGGUCAACGGAGCCCUGCAGGCUUCAAGCAGCUUAACAGCGGUCGACCCACCUGCAUCGGUCUCCAGCCAGGUGCCAACAAGCAGUGCUUCUUCUUGCUGCCUGCCCUUGACUCUCAUUGGAGAUUGGACAGGAGCAGGUAGGACCUUCUAUUGCAGAUUAUCUGCCCCAAGAAACUCCCUUCUGAGACCAGAGAAAACCUUUCCUUCUUACUUCUGCCAAAGCCUAUCUAAAAAAUUUCAGCCAAGCAGUCCCUGCUAAGGAGCCCACCUCCCCACUUUCUUGCUAGAGGCUCUGUGAGUGGCGUCUGAGCGAAUGGGAGAUGGUAAACCCAUCCCUCUACUACUGAAAAAAACGGGAUCUCUGGGGAAAUCGCUGAGGAACACACACACCAAGCAGUUUUCAAUAGAAAACCAAAGCUAGGGAAAACACACAAAACACCCCUCCACACAUCUAAUUCGUCUUUAAUAAACUAAGAUUAUACACUACAGUAUCAUACAAUUUCAGAGUAAACGAAUUUCGACACCAGGUGCAUUAGCUUUUAAGGUUCCCGGUUGAAGUGGAUUGCGGACAUUACAUGAUUUACCUUUCAAUAACAAAAUGCUGUAAGCUAGUGUGUAUUAGCUCACAUCUUUUUAGUCUCUUGCAGAGCUGAGGACUGAACCCAGGGCCUCAUACAUGCUGGGCAAGAACCCUUCUACUAAGAGCCCAGCUUGCCUAAAUUCUAUUUUAGUUGAAAACCAAACAAUAAUGUUGACUUUUGCUCUUUGCACAGACACAAAAAUAUUUUAACGAAUAUUAUUUAUAUAAUGAAACAAUAAACACAUCUAAUAAGACUGCCUGUGCAGUUUUAAAGAGAUACACAGAUGUUUAAGAGCACAUCUUAGUCAGGUAGCAUAUGACAAAACAUUUAAAUUUAAAAACCAAACCAACCAAACAAACAAACAAAAAACCAAAAAAAAAAAAAAAAAAACCCAAACAAACAAAUGGAAAACUCUUAAGUGAGAAGGGUGGGCCCAGAACACAAAAAGUAAGAGAGAGAUUUCUUGAGGGAGAGUUUAGGAAAAUAUCCGAGGGUGUUAAACAACAGGAACAAUUCUCAUAGUUCUUUACUUUUGGUACGAAGUCUUAUUAAAGUCUGUCUUACAGGAGGUUUUGGGGUAUUGAAGUGCUGUUGUUUGGAUUCUGUUGCUUCUCUCUAUCCAGCCUAGAAAUAAAAUGGUUGAGAGGGGGUAGGGUUGUGGUGGCUGGGGACCCAAAAUUCUGAACCAGUGCCCUGCAUAUAUUACAGCUGUGCCAGUAUUGCCAAUCUGGGCAGGCUCUCUGGGUAGAUCUGGAGGGCUGGGGAAAGAAGGGUUCUAUUUCCUGCAGGGUUGAGACAACAGCCCCAAGCAAUAGGUAAAGGGUGAGCCACUAUUUAGUGGGCUAGAAAGCCAAGGUCAUAGCUACACAGGACUGUUUUAAAGCCCCCUAGCACCUUUUGCAGGACCAGAGGUGUGAAUCUGAUGUUCUGGCGAGCUGACAACACAAAUUCCCUUAGCAGUUUUUAUUUGCCAGAGUGAUUCUAAUCCAGUCCCUUUGGGAUUUCCUUCUGCCACAACACAUGGUUCUGUUCUUAGAGACACCCUUUCACUAGGGGGAGAAAUAAUGAUCCCAUUACUGGAUGCUGGGGGUGGGAGGGAAUCAUUCAUAAUGUUGGUUUAAGGCAAAACAAAAAACAAAAUAACAAAAACAAACAAACAAACAACCCUGAAAGUCAAAGAAUAGAAAAUUCAAGAUUCUGUUGUUUGGGUUAAGUCCCCCUAGCUUCCUGACUGUGUAAAGCAUGGGACAUUUACAAGUCUUCCUAGCCAGGCUACUCUAACAUCCAGGGCAGCUGCCACUGCCACUGUUGUUUAAAAGAAAAGGCAUCCCAGCCUACCAGCCUGGGCAGAUUCCUUUUGCAAUGUAAAUGUAUCAGGCCAGCAGAUUUCAGAGUUGCUAGAUGAAAGUAUCACAUUGUAUAUAUUGGGAAAUAGGUUUAAAACUAAAGAUAGCAAAUGAGUUUAUAAUUCACAUUUUAAACGUCCAUUUAAAAACAACAACAACAGAGAGACAAACAGGUGGCCAUUACUUACAGACAGCUCAGAUACAGAAUGUUCAUCAUUCAAAAUCUGUUCUAGACACUUCCUCAACCCUGACACACACAAGAAGUUCCCAAGGGGGAACUAAUAUAAGUAGGUGCAGUUUCUUUGGUUUUUCACUUUCUCGGUUUUUGCAUCCAAAGUGAGCCCCUUCCCCCCAGACAAGGAUCUAUAGCAGAAAGUUAUGCUAUUUAUUAAAGUUCUGGAAAUUCCAAUAUAGCUAAAUUAUUUAAAGAUUAUGACCUCCAAAAUCA